AGCACGUAGGUGGGUUUGUAAGUCAGACGUGAAAGCCUUCUGCUCAACGGAAGAAUUGCAUCUGAAACUACAAACCUUGAGUGUAGGAGGGGAGAAUGGAACUUCUGGUGGAGCGGUGAAAUGCGUAGAUAUCAGAAGGAACGCCGGCGGCGAAAGCGAUUCUCUGGCCUAUUACUGUCACUCAGUGUGCGAAAGCUAGGGGAGCAAACGGGAUUAGAUACCCCGGUAGUCCUAGCCGUAAACGAUGGGCACUAAGUAGAGGGG
rnacentral:rRNA from 1 species